GGGCCCAUAGCUCAAUCGGUUAGAGCCCCCGUCUCAUAAACGGGUCGUUGACGGUUCGAGUCCGUCUGGGCCCA
rnacentral:tRNA from 1 species